rnacentral:rRNA from 1 species
UACGUAGGGUGCGAGCGUUAAUCGGAAUUACUGGGCGUAAAGCGUGCGCAGGCGGUUUUGUAAGCCAGAUGUGAAAUCCCCGGGCUUAACCUGGGAAUGGCAUUUGGGACUGCAAGGCUUGAGUGCGGCAGAGGAGACUGGAAUUCCUGGUGUAGCAGUGAAAUGCGUAGAUAUCAGGAGGAACACCGAUGGCGAAGGCGGCCUUCUGGGUCCGCCCUGACGCUGAGGCGCGAAAGCGUGGGGAGCGAACGGG